AACGAACGCUGGCGGCAUGCCUAACACAUGCAAGUCGAACGAGACCUUCGGGUCUAGUGGCGCACGGGUGCGUCACGCGUGGGAACCUGCCCUUAGGCUCGGAAUAACACCCCGAAAGGGGUGCUAAUACCGGAUAAUGUCUUCGGACCAAAGAUUUAUCGCCCUUGGAUGGGCCCGCGUUGGUUUAGCUAGUUGGUAGGGUAAAAGCCUACCAAGGCGACGAUCCAUAGCUGGUCUGAGAGAAAGAGCAGCCACACUGGGACUGAGACGCAGCGCAGACUCCUACGGGAGGCAGCAGUGGGGAAUAUUGGACAAUGGGCGGAGGGCUGAACCAGCAAGGCCGCUUGAGUGAUGAAGUCGUGAGAGUAGUAAAGCACUUUUACCCGGGAUGAUAAUGACAGUACCGGGAGAAUAAGCUCCGGCUAACUCCGUG
rnacentral:rRNA from 1 species